rnacentral:rRNA from 1 species
GACGAACGCUGGCGGCGUGCCUAAUACAUGCAAGUAGAACGCUGAAGGGAGGAGCUUCCUCUUCUUGGAUGAGUUGCGAACGGGUGAGUAACGCGUAGGUAACCUGCCUUGUAGCGGGGGAUAACUAUUGGAAACGAUAGCUAAUACCGCAUAACAAUGGAUGACACAUGUCAUUUAUUUGAAAGGGGCAAUUGCUCCACUACAAGAUGGACCUGCGUUGUAUUAGCUAGUAGGUGAGGUAAUGGCUCACCUAGGCGACGAUACAUAGCCGACCUGAGAGGGUGAUCGGCCACACUGGGACUGAGACACGGCCCAGACUCCUACGGGAGGCAGCAGUAGGGAAUCUUCGGCAAUGGGGGCAACCCUGACCGAGCAACGCCGCGUGAGUGAAGAAGGUUUUCGGAUCGUAAAGCUCUGUUGUAAGUCAAGAACGGGUGUGAGAGUGGAAAGUUCACACUGUGACGGUAGCUUACCAGAAAGGGACGGCUAACUACGUG